AUCCAGCUGACGAGUCCCGAAUAGGACGAAACGCCCGUCAAACUGGAU
rnacentral:hammerhead_ribozyme from 1 species